rnacentral:rRNA from 1 species
GACGAACGCUGGCGGCGUGCCUAAUACAUGCAAGUAGAACGCUGAAGGAGGAGCUUGCUCUUCUGGAUGAGUUGCGAACGGGUGAGUAACGCGUAGGUAACCUGCCUGGUAGCGGGGGAUAACUAUUGGAAACGAUAGCUAAUACCGCAUAACAGUAGAUGUUGCAUGACAUUUGCUUAAAAGGUGCAAUUGCAUCACUACCAGAUGGACCUGCGUUGUAUUAGCUAGUUGGUGGGGUAACGGCUCACCAAGGCGACGAUACAUAGCCGACCUGAGAGGGUGAGCGGCCACACUGGGACUGAGACACGGCCCAGACUCCUACGGGAGGCAGCAGUAGGGAAUCUUCGGCAAUGGACGGAAGUCUGACCGAGCAACGCCGCGUGAGUGAAGAAGGUUUUCGGAUCGUAAAGCUCUGUUGUAAGAGAAGAACGAGUGUGAGAGUGGAAAGUUCACACUGUGACGGUAUCUUACCAGAAAGGGACGGCUAACUACGUG